rnacentral:rRNA from 1 species
GACUAAGCCAUGCGAGUCAAGGGGCUUGUACCCCUUCGGGGGUUCAAGCACCGGCGGACGGCUCAGUAACACGUGGACAACCUGCCCUCGGGUGGGGGAUAACCCCGGGAAACUGGGGCUAAUCCCCCAUAGGUGAUGGGUGCUGGAAUGCCCCAUCACCGAAAGCGCUCAGCGCCCGAGGAUGGGUCUGCGGCGGAUUAGGUAGUUGGCGGGGUAACGGCCCGCCAAGCCGAAGAUCCGUACGGGCCAUGAGAGUGGGAGCCCGGAGAUGGACCCUGAGACACGGGUCCAGGCCCUACGGGGCGCAGCAGGCGCGAAACCUCCGCAAUGCGGGAAACCGCGACGGGGCUAGCCGGAGUGCCGAUGCCUCGCAUCGGCUGUCGGGGAGCCUAAAAAGCUCCCCACAGCAAGGGCCGGGCAAGGCCGGUGGCAGCCGCCGCGGUAAUACCGGCGGCCCGAGUGGCGGCCACUAUUAUUGGGCCUAAAGCGUCCGUAGCCGGUCUGGCAAGUCCCCCGGGAAAUCUGGCGGCUUAACCGUCAGGCUGCCGGGGGAUACUGCCAGACUAGGGACCGGGAGAGGCCGGGGGUAUUCCCGGGGUAGGGGUGAAAUCCUGUAAUCCCGGGAGGACCACCUGUGGCGAAGGCGCCCGGCUGGAACGGGUCCGACGGUGAGGGACGAAGGCCUGGGGAGCGAACCGGAUUAGAUACCCGGGUAGUCCAGGCUGUAAACGAUGCGGGCUAGGUGUCGCGACAGCCACGAGCUGUCGCGGUGCCGGAGGGAAGCCGUUAAGCCCGCCGCCUGGGAAGUACGGCCGCAAGGCUGAAACUUAAAGGAAUUGGCGGG